CCCAUGGGACAGGCCCCUGCUGGCAUGCCACCUCCCCCAACCAUCCUCGGAUGCCUCCUCCCGUGGUGGGGGGGAGCGACCAUGGCUGCAGCCAGACUUCUGUCCUGCCCCUCCCCAUCCCCCCAGACCUCUUGUCUUGUCCCACUGGGUGUUAGCCACAGCCUUUGCCUGUGAGUCCUGGGCUCUGCCGUGCCCCAGGCCUUACGGCUGGUGCGGGGGCUGCCGUCUAGGCCCGUUGCUUCUCCUUCACCUCUUCAUGUCAUUGCUCAUCUCCACGAGCCACCUCCUUCCACCAAAAACCACGCUGCAGGUCAGCCCUGUCCUGGGCACACCGGCUGCGACCUGGCUGGGGCCGGCCAAAGAACCAGAUGGAAGAGGCUGAAGCAGCCCCUGGAGGACCACUGGCCUGCACCACCGAGCCUGCCUUGCUGCCCGUUGCCUGACAUCUCAGGCCCAGCCCCGUGCCUCUCCACUUCCUCCUGGUUUGGGUUGAAGACACUGUCCAGAAUCCUCCUUGGAAGGAGAGCCCUUGACACACGACCCAACACCCUCCAGCGUUCAAAUCCCUCCGCAGCCACAGGGACACCCUGCACACGCUCCUGCGGGACAGGCCGGACCCAAAGACUCUGCACCAGGGCCGCCCCCUGCGAGGAGGGGCAUGCCCUCCCGGUCUCUCCUUGCGUAGCCACCCGCCCUCUGACUGAUGGACUGCACUGAUCUGAGGCUCAGACACGCGGGCUGGACCCCUACCCACCCCUCAUGAACCCUGAGACUUGGGGGAGCCACCGAGCCUUCACUUGUCCACACCUGAGGAGUGGGCUCGGACACCUACCUCACAGGGUUGUUGUGAGGAGCGAGUGAUGUGGUUUGAAAGCGCCUGACCUGGGGCUUGGCACACCCUUUUGUGCUCUCAAUAAAUGUGUU